rnacentral:rRNA from 1 species
ACUCCUACGGGGGGCAGCAUAGGGAAUUUUCCGCAAUGGACGAAAGUCUGACGGAGCAAUGCCGCGUGAGUGAUGAAGGUUUUUCCGAAUCGUAAAGCUCUNUUGUAAGGGAAGAAUAGCAGUAGUAGGAAAUGACUACUGUGUGACGGUACCUUACCAGAAAGCCACGGCUAACUACGUGCCAGCAGCCGCGGUAAUACGUAGGUGGCAAGCGUUAUCCGGAAUUAUUGGGCGUAAAGCGCAUGUAGGCGGCUCUUUAAGUCUGAUGUGAAAGCCUGUGGCUCAACCACAGAAUUGCAUUGGAUACUGGAGAGCUAGAAUCUUGGAGAGGAAGUGGAAUUUCAUGUGUAGCGGUGGAAUGCGUAGUAUAUG